rnacentral:rRNA from 2 species
AUGACCUCGGAUCAGGUAGGGAUACCCGCUGAACUUAAGCAUAUCAAUAAGCGGAGGAAAAGAAACCAACAGGGAUUACCUCAGUAACGGCGAGUGAAGCGGUAACAGCUCAAAUUUGAAAUCUGGCUCCUCGGGGCCCGAAUUGUAAUUUGUAGAAGAUGCUUUGGGUCUGGGCCUGGCCUAAGUUCCUUGGAACAGGACGUCGUAGAGGGUGAGAAUCCCGUAUGCGGCUGGCGCCCGUGCCCGUGUAAAGCUCUUUCAACGAGUCGAGUUGUUUGGGAAUGCAGCUCUAAAUGGGUGGUAAAUUUCAUCUAAAGCUAAAUAUUGGCCAGAGACCGAUAGCGCACAAGUAGAGUGAUCGAAAGAUGAAAAGCACUUUGGAAAGAGAGUUAAACAGUACGUGAAAUUGUUGAAAGGGAAGCGCUGGCAACCAGACUUGGGCGCUGUUGAUCCGCUAGGGUUCUCUCUAGGGCACUCGGCAGUGCGCAGGCCAGCAUCGGUUUGGGGGGUUGGAGAAUGGCUGGUGGAAUGUGGCUGUCUUUGGGCAGUGUUAUAGCCACCGGUGGCAUGCAGCCUCCCCGGACCGAGGACCGCGCUUCGGCUAGGAUGCUGGCGUAAUGGUUGUCAGCGACCCGUCUUGAAACACGGACCAAGGAGUCUAACAUCUAUGCGAGUGUUUGGGUGUUAAACCCAUACGCGGAAUGAAAGUGAACGUAGGUGAGAACCCGCAAGGGUGCAUCAUCGACCGAUCCUGA